ensembl:snoRNA
AGCCAGUGAUGACAAACUGAACUUUUCUGACACCUCGUAUGAGAGCUGCACUGUGGCUCCUGAUUCUAACUCUGAUCUGAGGCUC